AUCCAGCUGAUGAGUCCUAAAUAGGACGAAACGCGCCUCAAACUAGAU
rnacentral:hammerhead_ribozyme from 1 species